AUGCUGAAGUUGGACUUCUCCAAGGCCUUUGAUUCAGUUAACUGGGAGAGUCUCCAUUCCAUCAUGCAGGCUCGAGGCUUCUCGGCUGCGUGGUGUGACUGGAUUGACGAGAUCCUCCGCUCAUCUCGCUCGGCGGUCAUGCUAAAUGGGGUUCCUAGGAGAUGGUUUGAUAUGAAGUGUGGGCUCCGCCAGGGUGACCCGAUCUCGCCUUACCUCUUCCUGAUCGUUGCGGGCGUGCUGCAGCAGCUGAUCCGUCAGGACGCAGUGAUGCAGCAUCCGCUGGUGCCCGGCUCCCCGGCUGUUGUGCUUCAAUAUGCCGAUGACACACUGAUCAUCAUGAGGGCCUGCGAGGAGGGCGUGAUUCGCCUCCGUCAGAUCCUGGAUGAGUUUGCUAAAGCGACCGGGCUGUGGAUCAACUUUGCCAAGAGCACACUUGUUCCGAUGCAUGUUGAACAAGAAACCCAAUGUGUGGUUGUUCGGGCGCUGGGCUGCUCGGUGGGGGCCUUCCCGCAAACGUAUCUCGGUUUGCCACUGUCCUGGGAGAAAUUGAAGUUCGCAGACUUUCUGCCGAUGCUAGCCAAGGUCGACAAAUAUCUUGCUGGCUGGGCGGCGCGCCUCCUAUCUCCUGCUGCGCGCCUGGUUCUUAUCAACGCAGUUUUUGAUGCCUUACCAACCUACCCAUGGCAGCCCUGCUCCUCCCCCCUUCUUUGA
rnacentral:rRNA from 1 species